CGCGAAAUUAUUCCAAAAGAAAAGACUUUUCCUCAAUUCCUCGUGUUCACUUUGAUUGCGAUCUUGUGCAGGAUGGCUUGCAACUGCCAUCAAAAGUCUCUUGCAAUGUCUCUCUUUCAUCCAUCCGUGGACGCUUUUACGUGACUCAUGAUGAAAACUGUUGGUGAUGGCUCCGAAAUAUACACUGCAAAUUUGCAGUGCAGUACAAAAACAAUGAAGAAAUUAUGCUGACAGCACACUGACCAGGCUGCAUGGGGGCAUUCCAACCUCGUGUUUCAGUAGCCUGGCCAUGUUCUCCAUCCUUGCAGUGCCGAUAAUACAGAUUGUGCUGGCCACCAACUGGACCGCUUUAUCCACAAAGGCUUCUCUAUGGUGGUGGUCUACUGCGAAGAUUGCAGACAUCCCUGUUCAUACGCUGUGCCUGCUUGGUGAAAUGGUUCUUCUAUUGACGUGACUACUGCUGAAAGCCGAAUUACUUGCAACCAACCAUACCUGUGCCUGGUGGUGAAUUGGUUCGUCAGGAGCGCGCUUCGUCGACCCGUAAUGUCAUAGCUUGUUAUUCUGCUGCUUGUCAUCGUGCAUGUCUAUCCUAUUCUGCCGUGAGGUCAUUGCAUAGUGUACCACUGCUUCUGCCUUUUGACUAUCAAGUUGGCCCCGCGGUCAGCAUUUCCGUAACCAUA